rnacentral:lncRNA from 10 species
UCAUUAUCCAGCAAAAUAUGUCUCUAGGCCAUGCAGACUGGCUUCGUGCUGGGUUCUUUAAAGCCGAAACAAAGUGUGUGUUCACUCUUGCACUGAGUGAAGUUCAAGUUCACUCUUGCACAGAGCUUGCACUGAGGAGAGGGAUCGGCCAAGCUGUCCUGAGAGCAUGUCUCUACAUCUCUACCUGCAUUCUGGAAUCAGGGAGAAAGCCAAAACAGACAGACACUAGAUCAGCCGUGUCAACCCUUUGACUACAAGGACUUUUCCGCCUAUCUGUGGUGGGGUUCCUGGCAAGUCAGUUCUUCCUCAGGCCUUCGGUUUCCUCACCUACAAGAUGAGAGGGCUGGACCAGAUGGAAAUUCAGGGUGGAAGGGGAUGUCCGCGCACAGCCCACCACCCCCCCCCACAGGACCCUGGAUCCUUCAUCCCAGUUCCCACCACGCACCCGCCCCACAAAUCGCGCUCAAGAGUGAAUGUUGUUAACUUACUGAAGACCUGACGAAACAUGGGAAAGAUGGCAAUGUCUGACAAGAGGAACAGACGUGAAAUAAAAUCCAACAUUCUGUGUAAUUCUUAUUGUCUCUUAACCCUACUUGUUGAAUUACGAAAACUUCAUAUACAAAAAUUUGAGCAUUAUACUCUUUAGCUGUACAUUAUCAUUUCAAAACAAACUUAUACAUGGCUCUCACUAUUACAAUAGUCUUCCCACUGUAAAAACUUUUAAGCUGUAACUUUCUGCCAUUACUACGUUACCUUCGUAUUAGUUUAUGCCAUACUUCUUUCUGAGUUUCUGUCAAUAUUCAUCUGAGGUAUUUUUGUGUAAAAAUUAGAUAGUAACAGGAAAAUAGAUAACUGCUUCCAAUAUGUAGAAGUCAUUACUACAGCUUUGCCUAUUAACACAUACACACUAUUUCUUCAUGUCCCAGAUGUUCAGGUAUAUGGGAAUGAAACAAUGAGUUGGAACCUCUUGAUUCAGUUAUUCUGGUGACAAACAAUGUGUAUAGCUCAUUGACGAUUGUUUAACCCUUGACAAAAUGUGGCUGCAAUUGUUACUUGCAGAUGUAGCCACACUUAAUUUCUUUUCUCCACUCCCCACUGCAUUGUAUUUGUUAUUCUUGAUAUCAGAAAUGUGUUAAGAAAUAUGCCACUAACUGGGUGUGCUCCCUAUACAAUUAGCUACAGAAAGAGGUGAUAACUCAUAUUAUUUACAAAGAUUACAAGUAUAAAGAACCUUAAAAUAAUCAUUUUCUAUAAUUUGUUAUCAAUUGUUAAGUUUAUUUUAACAAUUAUCAAUUAGCUACAGAACACGAGUAGUGUUUCUUACUUUAGCCUGAUGUAAACAUGUGAUGCGGUAAUAUAGUGAAGAAUAUUACUCACUUCAGGGGAUAGGGCUUUGGUCAAGAAUUUUGAGAAACUCUUGAAAAAGGAAAAGAAAACCCCCCGUGAUAGUAAUACAAUUCCAAAAGCAAAAGGAGAAAAAAUGUAAAUAUAUUAAAUCAAAAAAUAUUUUAAGGUAAGGCAAAAGUAGGUAUAGAAUGGUGAGUCACAUACAAAUUGUGAAAGUGAGUAAUGGCCCAGAAAUCAAAGGAGAGGGAAAAAUAUGGUAGGUGAAUAUGGUUGCAAUGCUAAUUAAAAAAAUGUUAUUAGCAGCUAGCUCAAUUCAAGCUUUGAAUAAAUAGAAAGAGUGUUUAUAACAGUACGCUUAAUCUACUGGUGCUAAUAUUAAGAUAAUUGUUGAAAUAUACUUAAAAGAAGUUAGUGAAAGCAGAGAAUGAAAGACUAUUGAACUUUUCUGGUUUAUUGUGUAAAAAUUUGCCUGUAUCCAACAUACAGGCACAAAAAUAAAAUACUGGAAAUAGAGAGCAAAUCUUGGCCAUUCAAAUGAGAGUCAGUUAUUAAUUCUUUGGACAUAGGCUGUACUCCUACAAGCAAACUACGGCUAAAAUAUGCGAUUCAAUACAGAUACUCAUUUUUCAAGUGUUUACAACCUGUUUGAGUCCAUUUGGACUGCUGUAACAAAUUACCUUAGACUGGGUAAUUUAUAAACCAAAUUUAUUAUUCUCAGUUCUGGGGGUUGGGAAGUCCAAGAUCUAGGUGCCAGCAGAGUUGUUACCUGGUGAGGUUUGUUUCUCAAACUUACUGCUGCAUCUUCACAUGGCAUAAGGGCAAAAGGGACAAAGUAGCUCCCUAUGGGUUCUUUUAUAAGGG